AUUUUGUGGUCACGAAACCACUAUUCCGACUAGGCCCAAAAUCAGGAUAUUACAACUCUCCCCCCCUUCAGGGAUUUUCGUCCCCGAAAAUCUUACCAGAAAAGUGGUCUUCACUUUUAAUCUCAUAUUUGGUGCCGAAGAACUUGCACUUAGACUGUACCUCCAAUACAUCUCUUCAAUUUCUCAUAUGAUCUAAAAGCUUACAGUCUCAACUCUCAACUGUUCUUAAAUUUUCAACCCUUC
rnacentral:lncRNA from 1 species